AGCCUUCUGUAUCCGUGCUGAGAUUUCGUCACACACCAAACCACAAUAGUUGAUGAGACUCUAAAGGUAAGUAAAGCU
rnacentral:pre_miRNA from 1 species